UCAUGUAGUCUGGAAGACCUGGCCUGUUACUUGGCCAGGCACCUGUCUGAAGUCCUCCUUAAGAGGCGAUGUUUGUGAUUGUUUAAUUUUGUCCCCAAGCAGGAAAAGACCUUGAUUAAGGCAAUUGGAAGAACCCAAGGGAUGUGCAAUCCAUCCCCAGCUAUUCUUGUUGAGUCGUCCCUCUGCUCACACCACUGUGUUGAUGCAUU
rnacentral:lncRNA from 1 species